rnacentral:rRNA from 1 species
AAAGUUUGAUCCUGGCUCAGGAUGANCGCUAGCUACAGGCUUANCACAUGCAAGUCGAGGGGAAACGAUGCGGAAGCUUGCUUCUGCAGGCGUCGACCGGCGCACGGGUGAGUAACGCGUAUCCAACCUGCCCCGAUGUAUGGAAUAAUCCGUAGAAANGCNGUCUUAUACCUUAUGUGCUCCNAAGAGGACAUCUGAUUUGGAGUAAAGAUUUAUCGCCUUGGGAUGGGGAUGCGUCUGAUUAGUUUGUUGGCGGGGCACGGUCCACUUNGUCAUCG